AGGUGAAAAGCACCCCGGAAGGGGAGUGAAAUAGAACCUGAAACCGUGUGCUUACAAGUAGUCAGAGCCCGUUAAUGGGUGAUGGCGUGCCUUUUGUAGA
rnacentral:ncRNA from 1 species